rnacentral:rRNA from 1 species
ACAGCAGUCGCCGCGGUAAUACGUAGGGUGCGAGCGUUAAUCGGAAUUACUGGACGUAAAGCGUGCGCAGGCGGUUAUAUAAGACAGAUGUGAAAUCCCCGGGCUCAACCUGGGACCUGCAUUUGUGACUGUAUAGCUAGAGUACGGUAGAGGGGGAUGGAAUUCCGCGUGUAGCAGUGAAAUGCGUAGAUAUGCGGAGGAACACCGAUGGCGAAGGCAAUCCCCUGGACCUGUACUGACGCUCAUGCACGAAAGCGUGGGGAGCAAACAGGAUUAGAUACCCGAGUAGUCCCUGUCUCUUAUAC